UCUCCAUCCCUGCUGUGGCCCGCCUUAGCCUGCUGUCGAUGCAGCAACUGUUGUGAUAGUUCUAGUGGUAGUAGUUGCUGUUUUUAGUAUUUCUCUUCCUCGUCUUCUUCGUCUUCGUCUACUUCUUCUUCUUCAUUCUUGGGUGGAGCCCAUUGCUGUCAUGAGAGUGAGAUGGGCUGUUGUUGCGCUCUGCCAGGGCUGAUCUCAUUGCCCUCAUGGGCGAUCGUCAUGUGCGUGCUGGAAUUUUUGCAUGGAAGCGAGCCCGAUGCGCCUUCAGUGUUGAUCAGUGGGAGUCCUAGCAGUGCUCUAGUUUCCAUUUUUUUCUCUUCCUGUGGCCGGAUUGAUGUUGUCGUCACUCUAUUGUGCUGCGCUGAUUUCGGUCAGUUCCCUCUUAGUCGAGCUGCUGCUUGCCAGUGAGUGAGUGAGUGAGUGGGUCAGCAGCAUGGAGGUUCGACAAGGGUGCUUGGCCCUACUACCCGUGAACCCACCCAAGGAGAGACGUGGUUGUAGAGUCACGCACCUCUGCCGAGCCUCCUGCUCGUUGUGCUUCUUCUUAUUCUUCGACCUGUUAGUUCUUGCCUGGGUGGUUGGAGACGGCGAUGGGCAAUCUCAUAGACGAGGACUGGCUUGGAUGCGGCUGUGGCAAUCGAAUCGGAUCGGUUACAUCGUGCUCGAGUGAUCAGUGGUAUCCAGCAUUGAGCUUCGGCAAGGGGGAGACGAGCCAGUGAAUGGCGCAAAUAUAAUGAAUGCACCGGCGGCGAUGGAUACUAGACUCGAGGUCGAACAAGGGUGUGUGACCCUACAAUCCGAAACGCGAGACUUAAUGCUUCGCCUGCGAUUGUAGAGUCAUACACCUCUGCUAGCCUUCCGGUCUUCCGCUCUAAGCUAUUGAUGUUGUCAUUCCCCUGCCAGAUUCUGCCAUUCCAGGGACGCAUCUGAGCAAUGUGAGUGCGCACACCAAUUUCGUAGUUUCCGGUGCACAUGCUGCGAAGAGGGUUUUUACUUAAAGUAAAACAUGGGGCAGGCAGCCGUGAUUCAAGCAAUUCCACGGCAAGUCUUCCAAUACCACAUGUUCAUCGUUUUCAAAAGAAAAUGCUCCUGACCUCCACUGUUACGAAGGGCGGAACCGUCAUAAGCCAACACUUCAACCUUGCGUUGAGGUGACAUCAAAUCUACUGUUCAUCGUGGCUCUAACGCGGCGCGACCAGAGGCUCUGUAGUGGUAGCAGGAUUAGAUACCUCGGGCAUUUCCAAUUGUAUGAAAAACCCUCUAUAAUCAGUCAAUUUCUUGAUUAAAUCCA